CCUACGGGAGGCAGCAGUGGGGAAUAUUGCACAAUGGGGGAAACCCUGAUGCAGCGACGCCGCGUGAGUGAAGAAGCACCUCGUCACGUAAAGCCCUAUCAGCAGGGAAGAAAAUGACGGUACCUGAGGAAGAAGCCCCGGCUAACUACGUGCCAGCAGCCGCGGUAAUACGUAGGGGGCAAGCGUUAUCCGGAUUUACUGGGUGUAAAGGGAGCGUAGACGGCAGUGCAAGUCAGGAGUGAAAGGCGGGGGCCCAACCCCCGGACUGCUCUGGAAACUGUGUGGCUGGAGUGCAGGAGAGGUAGGUGGAAUUCCUGGUGUAGCGGUGAAAUGCGUAGAUAUUAGGAGGAACACCAGUGGCGAAGGCGGCUUGCUGGACUGUAACUGACGUUGAGGCUCGAAAGCGUGGGGAGCAAACAGGAUUAGAUACCCGAGUAGUC
rnacentral:rRNA from 1 species